GAUGAAGAACUUAGUGAAAUGCGAUAAGUAAUGUGAAUUGCAGAAUUCAGUGAAUCAUCGAAUCUUUGAACGCACAUUGCGCCCGUCAGUAUUCUGGCGGGCAUGCCUGUUCGAGCGUCAUUACGCCCCUCAAGUCCCCUGUGGACUUGGUGUUGGGGAUCGGCGAGGCUGGUUUUCCAGCACAGCCGUCCCUUAAUUAAUUGGCGGUCUCGCCGUGGCCCUCCUCUGCGCAGUAGUAAAACACUCGCAACAGGAGCCCGGCGCGGUCCACUGCCGUAAAACCCCCCAACUUUUUAUAGUUGACCUCGAAUCAGGUAGGACUACCCGCUGAACUUAAGCAUAUCAAUAAGCGGAGGA
rnacentral:misc_RNA from 1 species